rnacentral:rRNA from 1 species
GACGAACGCUGGCGGCGUGCCUAAUACAUGCAAGUCGAGCGCAGGAAAUCGACGGAACCCUUCGGGGGGAAGUCGACGGAAUGAGCGGCGGACGGGUGAGUAACACGUAAAGAACCUGCCCUCAGGUCUGGGAUAACCACGAGAAAUCGGGGCUAAUACCGGAUGGGUCAUCGGACCGCAUGGUCCGAGGAUGAAAGGCGCUUCGGCGUCGCCUGGGGAUGGCUUUGCGGUGCAUUAGCUAGUUGGUGGGGUAAUGGCCCACCAAGGCGACGAUGCAUAGCCGACCUGAGAGGGUGAUCGGCCACGCUGGGACUGAGACAAGGCCCAGACUCCUACGGGAGGCAGCAGUAGGGAAUCUUCCACAAUGGACGAAAGUCUGAUGGAGCAACGCCGCGUGAACGAUGAAGGCCUUCGGGUCGUAAAGUUCUGUUGUAAGGGAAGAACAAGUGCCGCAGGCAAUGGCGGCACCUUGACGGUACCUUGCGAGAAAGCCACGGCUAACUACGUGCCAGCAGCCGCGGUAA